AGUAACCUGCCUUGGAGUGGGGAAUAACAGCUGGAAACAGCUGCUAAUACCGCAUAAUAUAUCUGGGUCGCAUGGCUCUGGAUAUCAAAGAUUUAUCGCUCUGAGAUGGACUCGCGUCUGAUUAGCUAGUUGGUGGGGCAACGGCCCACCAAGGCGACGAUCAGUAGCCGGACUGAGAGGUUGGCCGGCCACAUUGGGACUGAGACACGGCCCAGACUCCUACGGAAGGCAGCAG
rnacentral:rRNA from 1 species